rnacentral:tRNA from 1 species
GUGGGUGUAGCUCAGUUGGUUAGAGCACUAGGUUAUGGUCCUAGGGGUCGGGGGUUCGAGUCCCCUUACUCACC